GGACAGUGGAUCGGAGUCAUGAACUGGGAGAUAAACAGCCAGUUUGAGCUGCAGCUUCACAGAAACAACAGAAACCUGACGCUGUCGCUGAUGGAGCUCCGACAGCUGUAUGAAGAAAACAACCGCCAAGCUCCUGGGAUCAUCUUAGGUCUGCUCAGGUGUGCUAAGAUUGAUGGAAGACCUCUGGAUACUGUACUGCUGGAGAAGCUGCUUGGCUGCAUCAUUGCUGGCUGUGCUUUUGGGGUUAAUGUGAUUCAAAAAAUGUUUUGACGAAGGAUUUGUAACAGAAGAACAGAAGCCACGAUGAAGAGAUCAUAUGUUUUUAGAUGUCACCCCGCCCCCUGCCCAUGACAUGCUCGGCUCUCAACUCUGGCCAAGUCUGGCCCAGCAACGAGUUGGUGCCCGAAAAAGCCCCAGUUUUUGGAGCCCGGAGCCGCAGCUCCGGUGGUGGAAAGACAAAAAAACGGCGCCAAGUCGGGCACCGGCUCCGACUCCGAACGGGCUCCACCCCGGUCGAAAGCUCCCACUAGAGACCAGAAUGGCACAACACUGCUAUAUUGACAUGUUGGGAGACCAGAAUAGCACAGCAACCAGCUCCAGUGUCUACACAUCCUGUGACCAGAAUGCUGAAACAACAACACUGCAGUAUCAACAUGUUGGGGGACCAGAACGGCGCAAUCCCAACACUGUGGCGUCAUCCACAUUGGAGAACCAGAAUGGUACAAUGACCAGCUGCAGUGUCUACACAUCUGGUGACUGUAAAUGCGCAAUGACAAUGCAACAGGGUCAGCACAUCUAUGGACCAGAAUGGCACAACAGCAACACUGCGAUAUCGACAUGUUGGGAAACCAGAAUAGCACAACAACCAGCUCCAGUGUCUACACAUCCUGUGACCAGAAUGCUGAAACAACAACACAGUAUCAACAUGUUGGGGGACCAGAACGGCUAAAUGCCAACACUGCAGUGUCGUCCAUGUUGAGGAAGUAGAAUGGCACAAUGACAACGCUGCAAUGUCGUCCACGUGGGGGGACCACAACGGCGCAAUGACAAUGGUGCGGUGUCGGCAUGCCAGGGAACCAGAACAGUGUAAUGAGACAGCUGUAGUGUCGGCUAAUCUGGGGGAACAGACUGGUGAAACAACAAUGCUGCAGUGUCAACAUGCUGGAGGACCAGAAUGGCACAGUGACAACGCUGCAGUAUUGACACGUUGGGGAACCAGAACGUUGCAAAGCCCCCCUUUUCCGUCCAAACACACUCGACUUCAGUUCACCCCGUUAAUCAGCAGCUUCUUCCCUCUUCAAUCAUGUUUCUUUAAAAUGUUGUAAUUCUCAGAUGUAUUUUAUUCUGAAAUAAAUGAUCAAAUUUGAUGUUUUCUUUCUGAAGCCAAUAAAAAAGGCAGAUUACUGUGCCAGUCUUCUGUGUUGCUGCUUUAUUUCUGUUAAUGUUCUCCCAAACCCCUUUUCUGUGUUAUUGGAACAGUUUCUGCUGAUCCAGUUCAAACUGUUCAGUCCUUUUUAUCCACUGAUUGAAUUCACAGCAACAUUUGAAAAAGUUUUCCAACAG
ensembl:lncRNA